rfam:Triticum aestivum genome assembly, contig: Triticum_aestivum_CS42_TGACv1_scaffold_405167_5BL
CAAGUACUCCCUCCGUCCGAAAUUACUUGUCAUCAAAAUGGAUGUGUCUAGAACUAAAAUACAUCUAGAUACAUCCAUUUCAAUGACAAGUAUUUUUGGACGGAGGGAGUACAAG